rnacentral:tmRNA from 1 species
GGGGCUGUUUUGGAUUCGACAGGAUUCAAUGAUGUUUUAGGUGCAUGCAGAGGUGCGGUUGGCCUCUUUAAAAAGCCGCAAAAAAAUAGUCGCAAACGACGAAAACUACGCACUAGCAGCUUAAUAACCUGCAUAGAGCCUCUUCGCCCUAGCUUUUUUCUGUAAGACGGGGAGUUCGAAGAGUCAAACCCAAACAGGAUCGUGUGGAAUCUCCCGCCUGAGAGAUGAAGCAUUAAAACUAAUUCAGGUAUGUAUUUAAGUGGCGUGUCUAUUCGCAGCUUGCUUACGAGAAUAAUAAUAGACUAAGCAUGUAGUACCGAGGGCUGACGCUUUCUGGACGGGGGUUCAAUUCCCCCCAGCUCCACCA